rnacentral:rRNA from 1 species
AACGAACGUUAGCAAGAUGUUUUAAGCAUGCAAGUCGAGCGGCAGCACUUCGGGUGGCGAGCGGCGAACGGGUGAGUAAAAGUUAGCUAACCUGCCUUUUAGACUGGGAUAGCCACUGUAAUGGUGAUUAAUACCGGAUAUGAGUUCCUUUUUGAUAAGGGGAUUUAAAAGACGCGCGUAAGCGUCGCUAGAAGAUGGGGCUAACCCCUAUUAGCUUGUUGGUAAGGUAAUGGCUUACCAAGGCGACGAUAGGUAGCCGGCCUGAGAGGGUGAUCGGCCACAUUGGGACUGAGAUACGGCCCAGACUCCUACGGGAGGCAGCAGCUAAGAAUCUUCCGCAAUGGGCGCAAGCCUGACGGAGCAAUCUUGCAUGGAUGAUUGAAGGCUUUCGAGUUGUAAAAUCCUUUCGGCAGGGAAGAAUAAGCGGUUCAGGAAAUGGAACUGUGAUGACGGUACCUGCAGAAGAAGCCCCGGCUAACUACGU